UCGAAAGCAAUGGUAACGAAAUAAGUUGACACCGCGUCUCGUCAAAACAUGUUGAAUUCGAAUUUACUCGGAAUUACACGUUCAACGAGCAUUUGCUGUGAAACCUGAUUAAAGGAAAAUUACUGUAGACACCUAAUAGUUUACAUAUGUCAGCAAGUCCUCAAAAGCAGCUUUAGGGGUUCCCAGGAGAUUCUGAUGCUCACUGUUAGACUUUCACUGUUGUCAAAAUCCAACCUUAUUUUCUCUUUUCUCAAAACUUCAGCUCUCAAAAACUUGUUUGAUUAAUUAUGUCACUCCUGUUUUGUUGAACAUGGUGUUGUCAGCAAUAGGUUCAAGUUCUUCUAUGUCUUGUUGUAGGUGAUUUGUACAGAAGCGAGCCCCGGCAGGAAUGAUGGCCUCUUUUGAAAUGAAGAUUUCAUGCCUUACUCCUACUGGGACUACAACUAACUUUGGACCUGGUCACUCGCAGAUACAGCAUGAAGUGUGCCCUCUUGAUGUACAUGGGGAUGGGAGUGAUACAGAAGGGGGACUAAUUGGAAGAACUGCUGCUGCUGGUGGUGGUGCUGGACUGUCUUGAAUCUGUUGCCUAACCGACUUGAUAUUCUUCUGUUUAAUAUGGGAGCAACACACACACUCUGGCAUAUAUUGCACAGAAAAUCAUGAUCAGAUGGUGCCCUCCAUAUCAGAGUGGUGAUCACUGACCUAUAUUUCUUUGAAAUCCUGGAUCUGUGUUUUGGUUUUACUCUCCAUGGACAGUUGAAACAGAGAAAGAAUUAGGGACCACUCUUUGGCAUAUCUGAAAUAUUUAUGUCAUAUACAUGUAAUUAAAAUAUACAAUUUGGGUUGGAUGAAAAUCUUAUCUUCAUGUUAAAACCCAUUAGCCUAGGUUAUUUUUCCUAAAAUCUAAUUAUAAAUCAAUUAACUUGUUACAUUAAUGCUUGGUGAAUCAAUUAAUAAAUUGUAUUAAAAAACUUGGAAUUAUUUUUUUUUCCACUAAUAAACUGAAAAUGUGUAUCUUCAAA